rfam:Strigamia maritima strain Brora ctg7180001231046, whole genome shotgun sequence.
GUUGCUUAAUGGUAAAGCACCCAACCGGCAAUUGGGGAAUCUGGGUUCAAGUCCCGGC